rnacentral:rRNA from 1 species
AGUGGCGGACGGGUGAGUAACGCGUGAGAAUCUGCCUUGGGGUCGGGGACAACCACUGGAAACGGUGGUUAAUACCGGAUAAGCCGAUUGGUGAAAGAUUUAUUGCCCGAAGAGGAGCUCGCGUCUGAUUAGCUAGUUGGUGAGGUAAGAGCUCACCAAGGCAGCGAUCAGUAGCUGGUCUGAGAGGACGAUCAGCCACACUGGGACUGAGACACGGCCCAGACUCCUACGGGAGGCAGCAGUGGGGAAUUUUCCGCAAUGGGCGAAAGCCUGACGGAGCAAGACCGCGUGAGGGAGGAAGGCUCUUGGGUUGUAAACCUCUUUUCUCAGGGAAGAAGCUCUGACGGUACCUGAGGAAUCAGCCUCGGCUAACUCCGUGCCAGCAGCCGCGGUAAUACGGAGGAGGCAAGCGUUAUCCGGAAUUAUUGGGCGUAAAGCGUCCGCAGGUGGCGAUUCAAGUCUGCUGUCAAAGCACGGGGCUUAACUCCGUAAAGGCAGUGGAAACUGAAUAGCUAGAGUGCCGUAGGGGUAGAGGGAAUUCCCGGUGUAGCGGUGAAAUGCGUAGAGAUCGGGAAGAACAUCGGUGGCGAAAGCGCUCUACUGGACGGCAACUGACACUCAGGGACGAAAGCUAGGGGAGCGAAUGGGAUUAGAUACCCC